CGACGCCGCGUGAGGGAUGAAGGUCUUCGGGUUGUAAACCUCUGUCAGAAGGGAAGAAACUACUUUGUGCUAAUCAGCAGUGUACUGACGGUACCUUCAAAGGAAGCACCGGCUAACUCCGUGCCAGCAGCCGCGGUAAU
rnacentral:rRNA from 1 species